UGAGUUUAGCGUAUGGUCGCGGUUUCACCGAGGAAAGUCCGGACUCCGAGGGCUGGAUGCCGGGUAACACCCGGAAAGAGUGAUCUUUGGUAAGGGCCAUAGAAAAGGAAACCGCUGGCUGCAUUGCCAGCAAGGGUGGAAAGGUGAGGUAAGAGCUCACCAGAUCUGAAGUGAUUCAGGUGCUUGGCAACCCCCAUCCGGAGCAAUUCCAAGCAGAGGGGUUUGAGGCUGCCCGCCAAAUCCUCUCGGGUAGGAAGCUUGAGGUAUAUGGUAACAUAUGCCCCAGAUGGAUGACCAUAUAAACAGAAUCCGGCUUAUCGCUAGACUCGUUGU
rnacentral:RNase_P_RNA from 1 species